GACACGGACCGCGGCCGCCUGCGGCUCCGAAGCUCGGGGUCUCCUGGGGCGCGGGGCCGCGGGGCCGAAGACCCCGAUCUGCAGCCUCUGCGAGGCCUCGUCCUUCACUGUACAGAUGCGAAGCUUUCAAGGACACGUCUGCACCGGCCCAGCGGGGUGUCACCCUCACUCGAGUGGUCACCCCAUGCCGCUGAUGACAGGCCCUGCUGUCCGUGGAUUCCACCUGUCCAGUUCCAGAGACUCGUGCUGUUUCUCCCAUGAGGACAAGAACCACAUCUGUAGCUUGGCACUUGGCACCCAGUAGGUUCUCAAUAAACAUUUGUUGAAUGAA